rnacentral:rRNA from 1 species
AGCGAACGCUGGCGGCAGGCCUAACACAUGCAAGUCGAACGAACCUUUCGGGGUUAGUGGCGGACGGGUGAGUAACACGUGGGAACGUGCCUUUAGGUUCGGAAUAACUCAGGGAAACUUGUGCUAAUACCGAAUGUGCCCUUCGGGGGAAAGAUUUAUCGCCUUUAGAGCGGCCCGCGUCUGAUUAGCUAGUUGGUUGAGGUAAUGGCUCACCAAGGCGACGAUCAGUAGCUGGUCUGAGAGGAUGAUCAGCCACAUUGGGACUGAGACACGGCCCAAACUCCUACGGGAGGCAGCAGUGGGGAAUCUUGCGCAAUGGGCGAAAGCCUGACGCAGCCAUGCCGUGUGAAUGAUGAAGGUCUUAGGAUUGUAAAAUUCUUUCACCGGGGACGAUAAUGACGGUACCCGGAGAAGAAGCCCCGGCUAACUUCGUG